UAACUGUAUAGUGUAUAAGUUCCAAAUAGUGAUAUGCAACCACCACUUGAACGCUUUAUGAGGUGAAAAUAGCUAUUUUGUAUUUUUACAAGGAUAAUAUUUUUAAAAAAUCAAAUCCGUAUUGGUCGGAUCGCAAAAUAAACCAAAAACAAAAAACAAAACAGCAUGAAUAUUCGUUAUUUACUGGACAUCAUAUGCUUCACAGCAUGCAUAAUUUCAACAAUCUGUGUUGGCAUUCAUUUGUACAAGUUCUCCAGAACAACAACACCACAAAGUAUGCUAAGCAAGCUCCUCGCUUUUUAUUGUUUUUUGUUAUUAUUGAUCUAUAUUCCUACAUCCGGACUUUACUUUGUGAUACACCUGCAGUUACCAAAGACACAUUUUACGACUUUAUUUAUUAUUGCAUUACAUUUAAUGGUGACGGCGACCUUUUUCAAACUCAUUAUCGCUUUAGAUCUGUUCGUUUGUUUUCGCCAAAUUGCUACCCAUCUACAAAUACGUUCUGCGGAUUCUUGUAAUAAGAAAUUCAUUGUUUAUUGUAUCGUCGGCGUGAUUGUUCCUCUAUUUUUAACUAUGUGUAGGUUCAUAUUUUCAAAUAACUUGCAAAACCCAACCAUUUUCAGUCCAGUUAUGCUUAUGAGAAUUAUUCGUAUCGCUCGUUUGUUUUUAAUUAUUGGCGCUGUUUACUACAUUAUAUCAGGUAGCAAGAAUAAAGAAGGAAUGCGGUUGAAAUACAGCCAACAUUUUCAAAUCCUUACGAUGCUUGGUGGAUUCUCUGCUAUUGUAACCAUAGCUGAAAUCAUCACAGUGAUCGUCAAGAAUAGUUUUAAUAUUAUUCCAAAUUCUUCAAUGAUCGUCUUCUUAUUAAUACAUUAUUUCGGUUAUCUACUGGAGGGGAUGGUUAUCUGCGUUGUAUUCACAUUCAGGAAACAAAGAUCUUCUGCCAGUCCCAAUAUGAAUACAGUAGUAGAAUACAAUAAUGACACGAUUCAAAUUUAAGUGACCGAGGCUUCUGCUAUUGUUGUACCCAGAAUCUCGAGACAAAUUUUGCCUGCUAUAAAUAGUUUGUGUUUCAUGGAAAUAAAAUCACAGUAAUUUGAUUACUUAACAUUUAAGAUGUGAUUUCAACAAAUACGAUGUAAGUAUUCGUAUUUUAUUAUGAUUUAUCAUUGAUAGAUAUCAAUUAAGUAUAUUCAAUUUUACCACAAUAAUUCUAUUGUUUUUAGUUUUACAUAACAAGUGUAUUGCAAGCAUUUAAAAGGAGCUAACGUGCCAAAAACUUGAUUUCGAGAUAUUCGCAUUUGGAUAAUGAUCAUAAGUUUUCACGAAUUUUUUCAUCAAUUUUCGCCUUAAUUUAUGAUUAUUAUGAAUGAAUGAAAACAGGCAAUUGAACGCUGUGCUAUAAAGGUUCAACUUUCAUAGACGUUGAAUUAUCGUACACGUUCUAGUUGAAAACGUGCAAUUUAAAACGUUCAAUUUUCACCAACCCAUUUAGAAGCGCCAUCAUAAUAAUAUUACGUAGACGUGAAAUAUCUUCGACGCAGCAAAAUAUUUUAGCGUCGCGUCGGCUACAUUGGCGAUUUGGCGACUCCGCUACAUGUGUAUCUGCCGGUACCACAUGCUGCCUCUCUUUGACAAAAAACAAAACAUCAACUUAGCUGACUUUUAUGCUCGUGACUCUUAAGAACAUACAUAUGAAAAAUACAAUCUAUAGGCGAAACUGUCGCACCAUUUUACUUUUUCGGGAAUUCUGACGCAAGUGAAGGUUUUAGGUUCAUUGCGAUUUUCAAGAUACAUUAACAUUACUCUCUUAAUUUUCUAUUCCAACAACUGGCCUCUUGAAUUACAUCAUCUCCGCGUUUGUUUUCUAUAAUUUCAAAAAUACGUCAGGUGAUUCUUCGUUAUAUAAAGUAGAUGCCUACUCAUUCGCUAUAGCACUUGAUAUGUAAUGUUAGAUUGAGAAAGUUAUGAUGCGUUAAUCUCGAUUUUCAACUCAUUUGAAAAAGUUGCCUUCGCCGUUUUCAUUCAAACCUGUGAUUUUUGGUUUGAAUCAGUUACCUUUUAUUGAAGUAUCCAACACGCCAGAGCCAUUGAAGUACCUACCCAACACGUCUCAAUAAAAAUGUGUUUGUCAGUGAAAUACUUCGGUAUUGUUGUAGUUUUGCUUAUUGGAAUCUGCGCUUCUCAAAAUCAGGAUACAACUGAGUCGUCAGAAGAAAAUGAUGGAACAAUAUUUGGAGAAAUCCAGCACACAAUGCGGAGUUCGCCAUUCAAUAGCCAAAAAGCUGUACCACCCAGUAACAAAAGUGUAUUUUCAAUAUAUUCAUUGCUAAGACAAUUUCUUCAGGAAUUAUUUUAACUGUCUGCAACUAAUUUUUACAAACAUGCUGUAUUGGUUGACCUAACAAUCAUGUCAUUCUGUUGUGUGUGCCAAAUUUACCUUUAUGGUACAGUGAUGUAUCAAUUUGAUAGGCUAUAACCUGAAAACAAUGUUCAUGAGAUGUUCUUAUGGUUUGGGACUAAAUUCCCACUUUUAAUAAAAUUAUUAUUUCCACA